GACGAACGCUGGCGGCGUGCUUAACACAUGCAAGUCGAACGGAAAGGCCCUGCUUUUGUCGGGUGCUCGAGUGGCGAACGGGUGAGUAACACGUGAGUAACCUGCCCUUGACUUUGGGAUAACUUCAGGAAACUGGGGCUAAUACCGGAUAGGAGCUCCUGCUGCAUGGUGGGGGUUGGAAAGUUUCGGCGGUUGGGGAUGGACUCGCGGCUUAUCAGCUUGUUGGUGGGGUAGUGGCUUACCAAGGCUUUGACGGGUGGCCGGCCUGAGAGGGUAGCCGGCCACAUUGGGACUGGGAUACGGCCCAGACUCCUACGGGAGGCAGCAGUGGGGAAUAUUGCACAAUGGGCGGAAGCCUGAUGCAGCAACGCCGCGUGCGGGAUGACGGCCUUCGGGUUGUAAACCGCUUUCGCCUGUGACGAAGCGUGAGUGACGGUAAUGGGUAAAGAAGCACCGGCUAACUACGUG
rnacentral:rRNA from 1 species